rnacentral:rRNA from 1 species
UACGAAGGGUGCAAGCGUUACUCGGAAUUACUGGGCGUAAAGGGUGCGUAGGUGGUCCGUUAAGUUCGUUGUGAAAGCCCUGGGCUCAACCCAGGAACUGCUUCGAAUACUGGCGGACUUGAGGCUAGUAGAGGUCACUGGAACUGACGGUGGAGCGGUGAAAUGCGUAGAUAUCGUCAGGAACGCCAAUGGUGAAGACAGGUGACUGGGCUAGUUCUGACACUGAGGCACUAAAGCGUGGGGAUCAAACGGG